GGUGGAGCAGCAGAGGAAAAGAAGAAGAAGAAGAAAAGAGAAGAAGGGAAGAGAGCUGCGAAUUGGGGCUGCUGCACCUAAGGAACCUAAAACUAUUGGGCGAGGACGCGUGAUUGAUUGCAGGGGAUCCUAUUGCACUUGUGAUUCGGUUUUGAGAUGGUGGAACAGGUGUUGAGGCAGGAUGGGAAUCAUUGGCGGUUAUGAGGCUUGUGUCUGAGAGAUAUCGGGUUGAUGAUGGACUUCACUACUGUUAUUGAAUAAUUUCUUUUGAUGUAUAUAUUGAUGUUAUAUGAAAGAUGUAACAUUACACCUAUGGGUUGUUUAUAAAUGG